UACGGAGGGUGCGAGCGUUGUCCGGAAUCACUGGGCGUAAAGGGCGCGUAGGCGGCCUGAUAAGUAGGGGGUGAAAUCCUGCGGCUUAACCGCAGGGCUGCCUUCUAAACUGUCAGGCUCGAGCACAGUAGAGGCAGGUGGAAUUCCCGGUGUAGCGGUGGAAUGCGUAGAGAUCGGGAAGAACAUCUGUGGCGAAGGCGGCCAUCUGGACCAGCACUGACACUGAGGCACGAAAGCGUGGGGAGCAAACAGG
rnacentral:rRNA from 1 species